rnacentral:rRNA from 1 species
AACGAACGCUGGCGGCAUGCCUCACACAUGCAAGUCGAACGAGAUCUUCGUGUCUAGUGGCGCACGGGUGCGUAACGCGUGGGAAUCUGCCCUUUGGUUCGGAAUAACAGUUGGAAACGACUGCUAAUACCGGAUGAUGACGAAAGUCCAAAGAUUUAUCGCCAGAGGAUGAGCCCGCGUAGGAUUAGCUAGUUGGUGUGGGAAAGGCGCACCAAGGCGACGAUCCUUAGCUGGUCUGAGAGGAUGAUCAGCCACACUGGGACUGAGACACGGCCCAGACUCCUACGGGAGGCAGCAGUGGGGAAUAUUGGACAAUGGGCGAAAGCCUGAUCCAGCAAUGCCGCGUGAGUGAUGAAGGCCUUAGGGUUGUAAAGCUCUUUUACCCGGGAUGAUAAUGACAGUACCGGGAGAAUAAGCUCCGGCUAACUCCGUGCCAGCCGCCGCGGUAAGAC